UCUGGGAUGCAGUGUGGUGGUAGCACUGCCUGGAACCAUCACAGUCUGCAGAGAGGCACCAUCUUUUUUUUGGAAGAUCUUGGGUUUGAAAUGCGAUCCCUGAAAUGAGACCAGGAUAGCUGUCAGAUCCUCUUCUCUGAAGAGAGUUUCAGUGAGGAACAGCUUGAGAUAAGCAGUGUGAACCAAAAGAGAUCCCGAUGGCUGUCAGAUCAGAGUGGCAGUUGGCCAAGAAGACAAAUUGCCUUCCGGCUGCAGGCACUUGCCAUAGUUGUUGUGGUGUGCCUUGGAACGUGAUGCCCUCCACAGGUGGCAGCCUGCAGCAAAAAAUUGGUUGGACCUGCAGAGAUACAGCCCAGUGACAAGGGCUGGCACUUUGGAUUGCAACAUGACCGAAACGAAAAGCGUGAACACUACAAGAAUUUCUGCUCUAUGGAAAAAUGUUAUUUUUGGAUUCUUCAGGAAGGCG